AUCAGGAAGAGGAAAAAAAUGAGCAUCUAAGAGCAUUGAGCAUGGGAAUAUGGAGGAAGGCCUAAACUAGUGUGUCCCUGUCCAACUAGGGUCCAACAUCUGUUUUGGAAUUUUCCCAAUGCCUCCCAUGCCCAUUGUUCUUCCGUUUUCCUUCCUCUCCCGUAUGACC
rnacentral:pre_miRNA from 1 species